ACUCCUACGGGAGGCAGCAGUGGGAAUAUUGCACAAUGGGGAAGCCAUCGAUGCAGCCAUGCCGCGCUGUGUGAAGAAGGCCAAUUCGGGCUUGGUUAAAGACACAUUUUCAGUAGGGAGGAAGGUAGUGUAGUUAACACCUGCAUUAUUUGACGUUACCUACAGAAGAAGCACCGGCUAACUACGUGCCAGCAGCCGCGGUAAUACGUAGGGUGCAAGCGUUAAUCGGAAUUACUGGGCGUAAAGCGUGCGCAGGCGGUUUGCUAAGACCGAUGUGAAAU
rnacentral:rRNA from 1 species